AUUGAACGCUGGCGGCAGGCCUAACACAUGCAAGUCGAACGGUAACAGGAAGAAGCUUGCUUCUUUGCUGACGAGUGGCGGACGGGUGAGUAAUGUCUGGGAAACUGCCUGAUGGAGGGGGAUAACUACUGGAAACGGUAGCUAAUACCGCAUAACGUCGCAAGCCCAAAAAGGGGGACCUUCGGGCCUCUUGCCAUCGGCUGUGCCCAGAUGGGAUUAGCUAGUAGGUGGGGUAACGGCUCACCUAGGCGACGAUCCCUAGCUGGUCUGAGAGGAUGACCAGCCACACUGGAACUGAGACACGGUCCAGACUCCUACGGGAGGCAGCAGUGGGGAAUAUUGCACAAUGGGCGCAAGCCUGAUGCAGCCAUGCCGCGUGUAUGAAGAAGGCCUUCGGGUUGUAAAGUACUUUCAGCGGGGAGGAAGGGAGUAAAGUUAAUACCUUUGCUCAUUGACGUUACUCGCAGAAGAAGCACCGGCUAACUCCGUG
rnacentral:rRNA from 1 species